AGCUGUGCAGUGAGCACAAAUCGAACUAUUCUUUCGCCUUUUACUAAAGUACGGAGUGCUCGCUGCAAGUAAACAACAUACUCAAAUUUUUGGAGGGUUCUUUCCAUUUGUGGAAGC
rnacentral:snRNA from 1 species